rnacentral:rRNA from 1 species
GACGAACGCUGGCGGCGUGCUUAACACAUGCAAGUCGAGCGGAAAGGCCACUUCGGUGGUACUCGAGCGGCGAACGGGUGAGUAACACGUGAGUAAUCUGCCCCUCACUUUGGGAUAGCCACCGGAAACGGUGAUUAAUACCGGAUAUGACCAUAUGUCGCAUGGCGUGUGGUGGAAAGUUUUUCGGUGAGGGUUGUGCUCGCGGCCUAUCAGCUUGAUGGUGAGGUAAUGGCUCACCAUGGCUUCGACGGGUAGCCGGCCUGAGAGGGUGACCGGUCACACUGGGACUGAGACACGGCCCAGACUCCUACGGGAGGCAGCAGUGGGGAAUAUUGGACAAUGGGCGGAAGCCUGAUCCAGCAACACCGCGUGAGGGAUGACGGCCUUCGGGUUGUAAACCUCUUUCAGUACCGACGAAGCGCAAGUGACGGUAGGUACAGAAGAAGCACCGGCCAACUACGUG